CACCUUCCUACCAAACUGCCUACCAUUAAGAAUCCAGGAGUCCCUGCCUCACAGUCACGAAGCAACUCUCUUUUUCUGAGGUGGAAAAGAAGCUAUCUCCUAGCUCUCUCCCUCUCCACACUUUGCAGCCUGGAGGCCAUCCUGCCUGGCAUUCUACCCUUAGAGUUUCAUUCUUUUGUGGCUUUCACAGCUUUCAGAUACUUGGAGAAAGAUGUGCCCCCAGUUGAGGUUUGGGUAACUCCUCCUCUCCCAUCCCCCCCCCAGAAGAGGCUUGCUGCACCUCCACUGCCCCUCAGGCCCAAGCUCCCGUCUCAGUCCUCAGGCUCUGUGGAGGUGAGGACUGCAGCAUAUCUCAAGGGCACCUGGGGAGGUGCCGCUGCCCUGCAUCCUCCCAAACCCCACAGCUCUUCUCACCCCUCUUGGUCUCCCUUUUGCCCCCCACCUCCACUUCCACCGAGCUUAGGGCUCAGCUCACUGCCUGCCAGGCCCAGCUGCUCUGAUGCCCUCCUUGUCCUAUUGUCCUUACUCUCUCCUCUGUCUGCCUCAUCUGACUGUGACUUCUCUGGAGGCAGUUGAUUCACCUCUGAGCCUUGGCCCCAGGGUCACCUCCCUGGAAAACCUUCCUGGGGCUGCCCUGGCCUGCCCCCCUGCUCAGGACAAUCUGGCCUGCAUGUGCACUCCAUUCUGUAGACCAUGAGCCCCUCCCAGACCAAGCUGGGCACAGCUCAGGUUCUCACUAAGGGCAGGGGGCUGCCAUGGAAAACCUGUCACUACUGACUGGCAAGACAGUGCCUAGGCAGAGUGGCAUUGUGGGAACUGUGCCCAGUACGGGAGGUGGGGGCAGGGCCAGUCUUCAUGGUCCAUCUUAGAGAAGCCUUGUGUGGCAGUGAUAUUUUGGAGGGGAGGCAAUUUUGGAGGGGCUGCAGGAGCCUGGGCCUGGAGUAAGGGGAGAGGAGAAUCAAGCUGUCCAGUGGGGAGAAGUCCUGGUGGGCGAUGGUGCCAUCCUGAGUGGAGAAGGCCUGGGAAUGUGAGGAGUGGGGAGGUCAGGGUGGGGGUGGUAGAGGUGCCAGGUGUACCCACUGCUUAGGUGAAGACAACGCCUGUGUACUUUCAGAGCCUGGGCAGGGUGCCUCAUGCCCAGGGUUGGGAGUCGGGAGGCAGUGGACUUGGGCCCAGACCCUAGAGGUGAGGAGGGUGAUGGUGAGGGGUGUAGGGAUGGCAACAUUGGCAGAACAGCCCCUGUCUACCCUCUGACCUCCCUCACCAAGCUGGUGGGUGAGAGAUCUGUCAGGGCCUCCAUCUUACAGCUGAAGCUAUGGAAGGCAGAGAGGUACCUGAGCAGUGACUUGACUUAAAGGCUCUGACACCCACAUCAUAGCUAAACUGUGGGGUCCCCCAAAUGCCUCCCUGCCAUUUCCAGACUCCCACACUGGAAGGGGGAAUGGGGCUCUGGUGCAGACAGUGUUGGGUGGGAAUUGCAGCUCCUCACGGGACUCCCUGCCAAACUUGGGCACCGGCUUCCCUUCAGGAGUGCCUGCUGCACCUCCCCAGACCUGCUGCUGUGAGGAUAAUGGGGUUUGUGUUUAUUUAGCAAGUGGCCACCCCUGGCAGCACCCACAGCUCAUGGAAACCACAGGGAAUUGAGAACUCUAGUGGAGUUGAGGCUGGUGUUUAGUGAAGUUCCAAUCACCAGGAGACUUUCAGGCCAGAGGAUCAGGGUUGAAGGGUUUUAGUGCGUGCUCAGCCACACUGCCUCAAUUCUGAGUCUGAGAAGAGGCCUCAGAGCCUGGUGCUUUGGGAAGCCAGGACUGCCCCUGAUCUGUCCUGCUCUCAGGGCCCACUGAGGCAGAGCCUAUGGACUUGAUGCCCAGCCCUGCCCGCUGUCUCCAGAGCUCCUAUUGCCUUGGGGCAUUGGACCAUGUCUGCCCACCAAGCCCCACUGAAGGGUGCAGGUGCUCCAGCAGGGCCCCCGAGCAAGACUGGAGGCAGUCAGAGAAGGACCAGUGGAAGCAGCUGGCAGAAAGCAGGCGGCAGAGGGCGAAGCUGGCCAACCAUCUUUGGGCAGUGCUGGAGGCCCAUUCGGAGCAAGCCCUUGUGCUGCAGAGGCGAGAGCAUGAGCUGGGACUCAGCUGGUCCUAAAGCAGAAAGUGAAGCCCUGUCCUCCCCCACUCCUUCUUCCUGGGCUUUCUGUAGCUGAAAGGAGGUCCCCUGAGCUACCAAGAUCCCCUUAGCAGGCUGAAAGCUCCAGAAUGCGCAGAGCCGGUGUCCACAUCUGGUGCCAUAUUCUCAGGGAGGCCUGCCGGGGUCUGGGGCACCCAGAGGAAGGGAAAUGGAGUCCCCAGCAAGGCUGCGGUGUUGAACAGAGAUGUCUCUGAAUGGUACCCCUGGAAGGGUGCAGGGUGUUGCCUGGGAGGCAUAUGCUCGGGGUGGCUAGGGACAGCGCUGGAGGUGAAGGAAGGGCCAGGGUCCCAGUGGCCCCCCAGGGAGAAUCUGAGGGAGGGAGGGGCUUGUUUUAGCUCCAUAGACUGAAGAGCUUCCUUAGAAGCGCAAUCUCCCCAAGUGAAACGGGUGAUCCCCAGAGAGGGGGAGAUGACUGUGCAGGCUGAGGGUUCUUGGGAAGAUUACCAGCAUCCCUACCUCGUGUGAGGGUAGGGACAUCCUUACCUCAUGUGAGGGAAAGGGACACCGUGUGAUGGCCCAGUUCCCCAAGCCUUCAGUGACUCCGUGUCUUAGCUCACAGCUGGCCCUCCUGGAGCCACUGCUCCCUUACUAGGCCUGGGGGACCCUUGGGACCUAGUUGACAACCUCGUGUCUGCCUGCCCUUUAGCAUGCCACAGCAGUUCUGCUGACCUCCACCCUGAAACCCGUCAGCAGCUGGAGAGCAGCUGGAGAAGCAGUGUAUCUCGGGCCCAGCUGGAGGCAGAGGAUGCACAGCUGGAGCAUGUCGUGAUAGAUAACAGCCAAAAGCAGCCCCUCAGGGCCCCAAGGCACGGGUCCAUGCUGGGCUGUCAGCUGGGCUGUUGGCUGCCAGUCCGCCUGUGUUAUCAGAGGCUGCAGACACUACCCUGCCUGGUGGGAGGCAGGGAAGCUACGCCUACCUAUCCGAGGCUCUGUGCUGCCUUUGACCCUCCCACUCAGCCUCCUCCCAGCAGGUGGAGUGCUCCCUGGCCUGCCUGGAGCAGGAGAGGCACCAAAGGCAGGGAUCCCAGGGACAGGCUGAGUGGGGGAGGCCAGACCAGGACAUAGAAGACAAGAUCCUGCUGCUGCAGACAGAAGUGGAAAAGGCCCAGUGGCAUUUGGACCAGAUGACCCAACAGCCUCUUGGCCCAGAGCCCAGCCCGGGGAUACCCCAAGUGGGUGCAUGGCAGGCCGUGAGCACUGGCCCUGCCAUACCUUUGACCCUGCCCUACACUUUAUUCUCUGGUUCUCAUUAUUGGAGCAUUAUCUGGAGAAGGAGGGCAGCACAGGGGCUUAGUCCAGCCCAGAGAGGGAUCCUCUUCCAACAUUUGGGAAUACCCUGGGAUCAUUCAGUGACUUCCCUCCUGGUUCAGAUGGGAAACUGAGACCAGAGGGCAGAGGAGAGCUUGUUCAGAGUCAUAACUUGAGUUGGGGCCAGGACCCUGCCACAACAUGCCCUGAGGCAUCAAGGGUCUGCCUAGACUACCCCAGUGUGGUCUAGAAGCUGGAAGGAGACCCCAGGAUUCUGGACCAAGCGUAUCCACAGGAGAUGCUGGUGCCAGGCCUGCAGAUCCAAGAGCAGAGCUGAGAUGGAGGCAGGGCCCAGGAGCUUUGGGACCCAGACAGAGUCUCCAUGCCAACAGCUGAGACCCCUGCCCAGGCUCAGGACACAGUCCAUCUGCAGGAACAGUUACUGAUGCUCGCUGAGGUUGGUCAAGACAGCUGGCAGGGGCAGCCCCACAGGAAAGGGAAUCUGGGCAUUAGCUGAUCCAGGCCAUGCCCAUCUGUACCAGGGGGCAGAAGCAAGGGAGCCUGGGCCCCAUUCCUGGGGGAUUCCAAUGUAGGGCGAGGGGAUCUAGGGGCACAGAGGAAAGGAGAAUGACAAGGAGAGACAGAUUCUAGCAGCGCAUCCACACAGUGAGACUCCAGAGAGCACCAUCCUCGUCCUCACAUAACUGGCCCCCCUGCUAGUGUGCAGCCAGGCGCUGGUCCAGAGUCAUCGCCUGGAGCGUAGAGGAGACUGCGGGCUAGGGUGGUCAGAGAGGCCUCCUGGAAGGGCUGAGACCCAGACGAAGUGGAGUUUGGGGCCUCUGAGGAGAAGAAGGGGCUGCAUGGGUAAAGGCUGGAGCCCCACAACCCUGGUGGAGGCUGAGCCACAACUGGGUGGGGUAGAGGUCUCCCCAGGUGAACAAGAGACUCUCAGAAGAGCUGGGCCGGAGCUCCCAGCAACUGGGGGCCUGCUUGGAGCAUUUGCAGCAUCUGUAGGGAGAGCAGAUGGUGUUGGGGGGCUGUGUGCAGGCCCUGGAGGCAGAGCGCACCUGGCUACUUCUGGAGAAGGUGGUGUUGCUAGCAGUAGUGGGUGUGGCCCCGGGCCAAGAGGCCUGGUAGGUGGCUGCUUGGGCCCAUCCUCAGACUGUCCAAGCCAGGCUGGGGUGGGUGCUUUGUUCUCACCAUGGGUGAGAUGGCCCUCUCAGCAGGCGGUGGGCCAGCCUCUGUCACCAGCUGGCUGAAGGGGAAUGGCCCAGAGCCCUAAACCUGGAAUCACUUGACCAGAGCCAGUCUUCCUUCCCCAGGUAUCAGCGCUCCUGGUUUUCACAUUCUGACUCUUAUGGGGUGGGAAAUCUUUCAGCUUCAAGAAGUCCUGUCUCGCCUACACAUAGCCAAGCCCCUCCUGCUGGCCCAGGGGCAGGUGGGAGGUGGGGGUGAGAUGACCUUAGCUGCUGGGUGCAAGUCAGGGUGCUUGAGAGUGGAAAUGCCCAGUACAGAGGGGUUCUGUGUGUUCAGGGAGCCAUGAAAGAGGCAUCUCUGCCCCACUCCCUGUCCUAGCUCAUAAGACAUAAUAAUCAUUGAAAGGGAGUGGGGUGGGGGUGAUCUGGGGUCCAUGCUAUACCUGGACUGCCCCAUUUCUUCCAGUACACUCCAGGUCCCGGAGGUACCAGUUCCCCUCAGGAAACAGCUAGAAGCACAAGAAUCACAUUCCAGGCUUCAUGAGGAGAUGGCUGAGUACUAGAGGACACGCUGGCACCAUGUGGCAGUUGCCCUGAAAUUUAAAGAGGAGGAAUUGCAGAGACUCCAGAGGCAGAGUGGGACCUGGCCUCCCCAGGGCAGACCCCAGCAGAGACCGCAGGCCAGCCUCCAGAGUCUGCAAAGGGAAGGAGCUGUGGGACCCCAGGUCUGCCAAGGAACUGGAGUCUGCAGUGUGGACUCUACCAGAGGCCAAUGGAUGGGUUCACAGCUGGCUGAGAUGCGGACUGAGCUCGAGAAGGUCUGCAGUGUGCUGGAAGCUUGAGACUCAGAGCUGAGAGCUCAGCAGUGGGUCCUGGAGGCUGUCCAGGACCAGGUACUCAGCAGCUGUCCCCCUGCAGUGUGCUUCUGACUGGCCCCCACAGGCUCCCCCAUGCCCGAUCCCUGGUGCCUGCCACAUGGUGCCUACCAUGGCCUUGACCUUCCCUUCCUCACACUCUUGUCACUCAAGUUCCUCCCAAGCCCUCGCUGCCCAUGGGAAGGCCUCAGCCUGAAAUGUACUCACUGUUUCCCCCCACCCACCUCCAAGCUGGUGGAGAGUCUCCCUGAGAAACUGAGGCUGCAGCAGCAGCAGCUGAACAGGAGCUGGUAGAGAAGCAAUGACCGCAGGAUGAGGGGUGCCUGCGUCUGAGGGGCUCUGGGGGGAGAAACCCCACCCUCCCUGCCAGAUACUCCUCAGCCCCCACAGUUCUCCCUCUUCUCUGAGAACCUGGGGCAGGGGUCAGAGGCAUUUAGGGACAUGUUGUGGAGGCUGCCAUCUCAUCCCCACAGGGGUUAGGACGGGUGGGACUGAGCAGCAGCCUGAGGCCUGAUCUAUCUCCUGGUCUGCCUUCUCUCUGAAGAGGGGAAGCCAGGGGAAGCAGCAGCAGGAGGGGGUAUGGCAGGGUAGGCUGUGGGGCACAGGGAAUCAGGCCAUCUGGGCCCCUGGACCUGGAGCAAUGGAUGGAAGGAGAGUGGCCGUAGAACUGAGAAGUCUUACACUUCACUCUCCACCACUCCCGAGCUUGGCGAGCAUGAGCAAGUCUUGCCUUCGCUAAGCCUUAGUAUCCUUCUCUGUAACAUGGGAACACGGACAGUACCUAUGACGUGGGAUUGAUGUGAGGAUGACAUGGGACACAGUGCACUGAGGACCGUGCCUAUGUUCUCCGUCCUCCUUGGUUUCUCCUGUAUCUGGGGUCCAGUUAGGCUGAGUCAGUACCAAAGUCAUAAAAUCACAUAUGUGUGCCCAGGGACGGCUGCAUAUGGGCUUUAGUCACAAAGUGUUUUUUUUUUUUUUUUGAGAUGGAGUUUUGCUCUUGUUGCCCAGGCUGGAGUGUAGUGGCGUGAUCUUGGCUCACUGCAACCUCCAUCU